rnacentral:lncRNA from 1 species
AUUUUUUCUUUUAUUGUAAAGGCAGUUUCUUGAGAAAUGUACUAAUUAUUGAGGGCAGCGUUUAAUACUUAGUGUUUCCUUUGAGAUAUCUCUGACUUUCCAAAUAUGCGAUUUGAUUUCUUUUGCUACUAUGAAACCAAAUUAGACUUAUUUAUGUGAUUUAUUAUUUACUAAAUUAUAAAUCGCCGUGAUUUCUUAAAAUGGUUUCUUAAGUUGCAAAAAUUUAUACAGAGAACACGAAAGGAUCUUCUGCAAGAACUAGAUACGGGAGAGUUUUUCACUAUCCUGCAUAAAAGCUGUGAAGUCUACUUCCAAAAGUACUACUUUGGCAAGUCUCACAACUCUGUUCUCCAGGUUUUGUUAUUUUUUUUUUUCCUGAAGCAUAACAUGUAUUCUCUAAAGUGCACAAAUCUUAAAUGUGCAGCUGGACAAAUGUGAGCAAAAUGACCACACCUGUGUAUCUGCCAGCCAGAUCAACAUGCACACCCUCAGGAGAAUGACCACGACCACUGUGAUUACAGCCACCACCCUCAAAGUUUACUCAGGUCACUGUUGGCAAGUCUUACCACAUGGAAAAUAUUCAACAGUUCCCAUCAGCUCAUAACCUCAAGGAAAUCUGUGGGGUUCACUCAUGAAAAUCUGCCUGGACACCAUACAAAGGAUUUCCAUUCUCCCAGGCUCCACUUGGUAUUGUAUGGAGAAGCUGACCACAUAAAACCCUUCUGCUCUGAGAUACCCUAGUUGUUCUGAGGAUUUCUGAUACUUUUCUCCUUCCCCUGGAAUAUAACCUAGGAUUCUUUCCAUGGUAUUUAUCCACCUUAAAUGAUUUAUUCUAACCGGUUCCCCUAUUUUGUCUUGAGGAUGAUUUUCAGUUAGAUUAAUAUUUUUUUCUUUUAUAGAGUCAUGGAUUUUACCUCUUGAGUCCUUUAGCACCUAUACUCUUUCAAUAAAAAAUUUAAGUUGAGGUUUAUAAAAGUUCUU